GAAAAGACAAACUCUGGUUUUACGUGUUCAACUUUGACUGUCCGUCUUAUAUAAAUUUUUUUUAUAAUUCAUAUUUUUAUUGUUGUUAAAUGAUAAAACAUAGACGGCGGUCAAACGUUGGGCACGAAAACCAUGGUGUCUUUUUUU
rnacentral:pre_miRNA from 1 species